UACGUAGGGUGCAAGCGUUAUCCGGAAUUAUUGGGCGUAAAGAGCUCGUAGGCGGCUUGGCAAGUCGGGUGUGAAACCUCCAGCUCAACCUGGAGACGCCACUCGAUACUGCCAUGCUAGAGUCCGGUAGGGGACCACGGAAUUCCUGGUGUAGCGGUGAAAUGCGCAGAUAUCAGGAGGAACACCGGUGGCGAAGGCGGUGGUCUGGGCCGGCACUGACGCUGAGGAGCGAAAGCGUGGGUAGCAAACAAG
rnacentral:rRNA from 1 species